UACAGAGGGUGCUAGCGUCAAUCGGAUUUACUGGGCGUAAAGGGCGCGUAGGUGGUAAAGCAAGUAAGAUGUGAAAGCCCUGGGCUUAACCUGGGAAGUGCAUCUUAAACUGCUUAACUAGAGUAUGGUAGAGGGUAGUGGAAUUUCCGGUGUAGCGGUGAAAUGCGUAGAGAUCGGGAGGAACGCCAGUGGUGAAGACGACUACCUGGACCAAUACUGACGCUGAGGCGCGAAAGCGGGGGGAUCAAACAGG
rnacentral:rRNA from 1 species